GCUGUUAGGAGACUAUGUCUUUUAGUGGCGCAGCUAACGUUUUAAGUUGUCCGCCUGGGGAGUACGGCCGCAAGGCUAAAACUCAAAUGAAUUGACGGGGACCCGCACAAGCAGUGGAUCAUGUGGUUUAAUUCGAUGCAACGCGAAAAACCUUACCUACUCUUGACAUACUUGGAAGCUCUUGUAAUGAGAGUGUGCUUUUAAGAACCAAGAUACAGGUGCUGCAUGGCUGUCGUCAGCUCGUGUCGUGAGAUGUUCCGUUAAGUCGGAUAACGAGCGCAACCCUUACCCUUAUUUGCCAGCGAUUCGGUCGGGAACUAUAAGGGGGCUGCCGGUGAUAAACCGGAGGAAGGUGAGGACGACGUCAAGUCAUCAUGGCCCUUACGAGUAGGGCUACACACGUGAUACAAUGGGAGAGACAGACGGACGCUAAGCCGCGAGGUGGUGCUAAUCCUAGAAACUCUCUCGUAGUCCGGAUUGGAGUCUGCAACUCGACUCCAUGAAGUUGGAAUUGCUAGUAAUCGCGGAUCAGCAUGCCGCGGUGAAUACGUUCUCGGGUCUUGUACACACCGCCCGUCACACCAUGGAAGUGGAUUGCACCAGAAGUAGAUAGUCUAACCUUAGGGAGGGCGUUUACCACGGUGUGCUUCAUGACUGGGGUG
rnacentral:rRNA from 1 species